rnacentral:sRNA from 1 species
AAGACACCUCGGGACAAGGAGCGGGAGAGAUAUCGGGAACGGGAGCGUGAUCGGGAGAGAGACAGAGACCGUGACCGAGAGCGAGAGCGAGAACGAGAUCGGGAACGAGAGCGAGAGCGGGACCGAGAGAGAGAAGAGGAAAAGAAGAGACACAGCUACUUUGAAAAGCCAAAAGUAGAUGAUGAGCCCAUAGACGUUGACAAAGGACCUGGGUCUGCCAAGGAGUUGAUCAAGUCCAUCAAUGAAAAGUUUGCUGGGUCUGCUGGCUGGGAAGGCACAGAAUCGCUGAAGAAGCCAGAAGACAAAAAGCAGCUGGGAGAUUUCUUUGGCAUGUCCAACAGUUAUGCAGAGUGCUACCCAGCCACGAUGGAUGACAUGGCUGUGGAUAGUGAUGAGGAGGUGGAUUAUAGCAAAAUGGACCAGGUAUGUAGUUAGAAGGAUGGUGGGUGCCUUUGGGCAGUUAUUAUUUGUUUUACAUAUAUCUCCUUCCCCA